AUUGAACGCUGGCGGCAGGCCUAACACAUGCAAGUCGAGCGAGCGGCGGACGGGUGAGUAAUGUAUGGGGACUGCCCGAUAGAGGGGGAUAACUACUGGAAACGGUAGCUAAUACCGCAUACUAUCGGAUAACCCAUAUGGGAUUAGCUAGUAGGUGAGGUAAUGGCUCACGUAGGCGACGUUCUCUAGCUGGUCUGAGAGGUUGAUCAGCCACGCUAGGACGUAGACAGUGCCAAGUCUCCCGAGAAGGCAGCAGUGGGGAAUAUUGCACAAUGGGCGCAAUCCUAAUGCAGCGCUGCCGCGUGUAUGAAGAAGGCCCUAGGGUUGUAAGGUACUUUCAGUCGGGAGACGUUACCGACAGAAGAGGCACCGGCUAACUCCGUGCCAACAGCGGCGGUAAUGC
rnacentral:rRNA from 1 species